CAACAGUCUGAGGUCAUGGAAUCACGCCUCUCCCCAGUUCUGUCUGUGGAAUUCUCCCCUGUAGCGAGCACACACUGAGGGCUGUAACACUCAUUAUCGUGGCUGAUCUUCCCUGUGAGUAAGAGGAGGAUGCUCCUAUAGGAGUUUCCAGGAGCCCUUGGGGGUAAUAGGAGCACUGAGCGCUACAGGGAAGACCUACUCUGACCUGUCGUUUGGGGACCCUAAGAAGUUUGGGGACCCUGGGGCACCUACUCCCAUCUUCCUGCUCAGAUCCUGGGUCCUACAUAGAACUGACCAUGAACAAGGCACCACAGGCUUCAGACAACCACGAGAGGCAUGGGAACUAGAAGAGAAAGUGAACUGGCCGAGAUCAGUACCUGACUCAGGCCUCAUCAAGAGACUCUUGUUCUUGCAGUAGACGGGAAUAAACCUGGAGAUCACAACUGGACAGUGCGAAGAUGUCUCACUGGAACACUCAGUCUUAAAUGGUAUGUCUUUUUCAGAGCCCUCCCCUCAAGGCUCUGCGUACAUCAAGGCUCUGCAUACAUCAAGAGAUGUAUGCAGAAAGAUUGUGGGAACCAGGGGGGGACAGAGGAACCCAAGGAAGAACUGAUGCACACAUGAGCAGCACACCUGAGGAUGACAGAUGAGACCCGAGCACUGAGAAGAGAAAGCAGACAUGGGCUCCACAUCCCUUACUAGAAACCUAUCUGCAAUUGAUGCCUGAUGGAAAAGGGAGAAUCUCCAAUGGAGUCUCACUGGGCAUAUUAACCACACAUCAGGGAAGGUCCCAUGCCCAGGAGCAGUUGACCAACACCAAACAAACUCCAAGGCAUUUCCAUGGACUUUUUGUCUCAUUCUUCUUCGUUGGGGCAUAUUUUUCUUACUUUUUCUUUUUGCCAUUUUUUAACUGAGCUAUGCAUUUUCCCCCACUCCCCUUUCCUCCUCCCCUCUCCCCUGCCACCCUCCCCCCUGCCCCAUACACUCCCAAUGUACGUGGGGGAGUUUGUCUUUUUCCCCUUCCUAGGCAGAUCCAUUUAUGUCUCUCUUAGGGUCCUCUUUGUUACCUAGACUCUCUGGAGUUGUGGCCUGUAAGCUGAUUGGCCUUUGCUUUAUGUCUAAUGUCCAUUUAUGAGUGAAUACAUAUUAUAUUUGUCUU